rnacentral:rRNA from 1 species
UACGGAGGGUGCAAACGUUGCUCGGAAUCAUUGGGCGUAAAGCGCACGUAGGCGGCAUGAUAAGUCGGGUGUGAAAGCCCUGGGCUCAACCCAGGAAGUGCAUUCGAAACUGUCUUGCUUGAAUCUCGGAGGGGGUCAGAGAAUUCCCGGUGUAGAGGUGAAAUUCGUAGAUAUCGGGAGGAAUACCAGUGGCGAAGGCGCUGACCUGGACGAAGAUUGACGCUGAGGUGCGAAAGCGCGGGGAGCAAACAGG